UUCUCAUUCUCUCUUAUAUCUCUUCUAUCUUUUGUAUCUCACAUCUACCUCUCUCCACGGUCUUGUUCUUCCCACCUCGUCGCCUUGCCUUUGCCACAACCAUAGACAGCGAGACUCUGUCUCUCGCGUCUCUCUCUGUCUCUGUCUGUCUGUCUGUCUGUCUGUCUGUCUGUCUGUCUGUCUCUCUCUCUCUCUCUCUCUCUCUCUCUCCCCUUCUAGUUCAGAGGGAUUUGGGUUUUAAUUUUAGGGUUACUGAUUUGGGGUUACUGAUUUGAGUUUUAAUCUAACCAUUUGGGUGUUGGCUUGUGGUCGCUUUACCUCGAUCAACAAAGGUGCUUAGCUUUUCCAUCUCUCUUGCCCUCUACGGCUUUUGCGCUCACUCUGAAGCUUUGAUAGGUGAUGGCUUCGAAACGGAUCUUGAAGGAGCUGAAGGACGUCCAGAAAGAUCCUCCUACUUCAUGCAGCGCUGCGAGUUCCAAGACAUAUUCGAUGUGGAUCAUUUCAUCACAUCCUUGAGAGAUGAAGUUCGCAUAUUGAAAGAGUUGCCUCCGAGGGUUAAGAGGAGAGUGGCCACCAAUUAGUUGGUCUGACAUGUCUUAUUAUCAUAAUCAGGUCAGUCCCUUUCGUUGUUCUUUAUAACUUGACAAGAAGUUUUCCGUGUUGCAACUUGUAAACAUUCUUAAACCUCAUCAUAUUCCUUAUUCUGUCUCAAAUACUAUAUGCUACUCUUAUGUAAUGGACAUGUUGGCAUUUUCUGGUUGUACUCAAGGUUGUAACGCUGAGGAGGUGGAAGAAUUGACAAGAAUGAGAUAUGCUUAUCCCUGAUGGAAAGAGAAAAUAAUCAAUUCUGACCUGAAAAGGAAAGAUGGUUUGUGUCCUCUGACACCUGAAGAAACCACUCUUAUGUUAAAAUGUAAACUGCCUAGCUAAUUUCUGAUUAGUUAGUAAUCACUUAGUCAGUUUAUAUUUAGUCUAUUUAAGCCAUUUGUUAGCUGAGCAUCUUGAGCUCAUAUGCCAAGUGUAAGGCUUAGGUUUGUCUCUCUUUUCCAGCGGUCCUAAAGCUUUGUAAUGCCAUGUGUCAUAUUCACAUUGGCUUAACUUUCACAAUGGUUAGAUUGAAUUUGCUGAUGUAAGAACACGUUUUGGUUAUGAAUGAAUAUUCUCUGCUGCAACGGUUAGGCAGAGGAGUAGUGGUUAUUACCAUUUUUCUA